rnacentral:rRNA from 1 species
GACGAACGCUGGCGGCGUGCUUAACACAUGCAAGUCGAACGGUAAGGCCCUGCUUUUGUGGGGUGCUCGAGUGGCGAACGGGUGAGUAACACGUGAGUAACCUGCCCUUGACUUUGGGAUAACUUCAGGAAACUGGGGCUAAUACCGGAUAUGAGCUCCUGCUGCAUGGUGGGGGUUGGAAAGUUUCGGCGGUUGGGGAUUGACUCGCGGCUUAUCAGCUUGUUGGUGGGGUAGUGGCUUACCAAGGCUUUGACGGGUAGCCGGCCUGUGAGGGUGAACGGCGACAUUGGGACUGAGAUAGGGCGCAGACGACAACGGGAGGCAGCAGUGGGGAAUAGUGAACAAGGGGAGGAAGCAUGAUGAAGAAACGCAGCGUGCGGGAUGACGGCCGUCGGGGUGUAAACAGAUUUAGAAUGAGACGAAGAGUGAGUGACGGUAAUGGGUAAAGAAGCACCGGCUAACUACGUG